AUUGAACGUUGGCGGAAUGCUUUACACAUGCAAGUCGAACGGCAGCACGGACUUCGGUCUGGUGGCGAGUGGCGAACGGGUGAGUAAUGUAUCGGAACGUGCCCAGUCGUGGGGGAUAACGUAGUGAAAAUUACGCUAAUACCGCAUACGAUCUAUGGAUGAAAGCGGGGGAUCGCAAGACCUCGCGCGAUUGGAGCGGCCGAUAUCAGAUUAGGUAGUUGGUGGGGGAAAGGCCCACCAAGCCAACGAUCUGUAGCUGGUCUGAGAGGACGACCAGCCACACUGGAACUGAGACACGGUCCAGACUCCUGCGGGAGGCAGCAGUGGGGAAUUUUGGACAAUGGGCGAAAGCCUGAUCCAGCCAUUCCGCGUGCAGGAUGAAGGCCCUCGGGUUGUAAACUGCUUUUGUACAGAACGAAAAGGUUUCUACUAAUACUAGGAGCUCAUGACGGUACUGUAAGAAUAAGCACCGGCUAACUACGUGCCAGCAGCCGCCGUAA
rnacentral:rRNA from 1 species